UGGGGAAUUUUGCGCAAUGGGCGAAAGCCUGACGCAGUAACGCCGCGUGGAGGAUGAAGGCCUUCGGGUUGUAAACUCCUGUCAGGGGGAACGACGGGACCAGGCAGACAAUGCCUGGCCGCCAGACGGUACCUCCAAAGGAAGCCCCGGCUAAUUCCGUGCCAGCAGCCGCGGUAAUACGGAAGGGGCAAGCGUUGUUCGGAAUCAUUGGGCGUAAAGGGCGCGUAGGUGGUUCUGUAUGUCUACCGUGAAAGGGUACAGCUCAACUGUAGCGCGUCGGUAGAAACUGCAGGACUUGAGGCUGGGAGGGGCUGGUGGAAUUCCCUGUGUAGCGGUGAAAUGCGUAGAGAUGGGGGAGAACACUCGUGGCGAAGGCGGCCAGCUAGACCAGUUCUGACACUGAGGCGCGACAGCGUGGGGAGCGAAACAGGAUUAGAUACCCUGGUAGUCCACGCUGUAAACGAUGGGCAC
rnacentral:rRNA from 1 species